GGCGACCCGGUCGUACCCGGUCCGUGACAGAGGUGCGCAGCGCCUUGGGACCCCUGGCGAGGAGAGGCUGCGACUGGCUGGCGCGGGCCGGGCCCAGGGCCCAGGGGCUGGCGGGAGAGACUCCCGCAUAUCCACUGGAGGCAUACUGCGCCAGCCACUCCGCAGCCAGCUUUCCAGAUUCCCGCGACCCUCUCUCGACUGUGCUGUGCAGGGGUGUGACUCUUCUCCAGCUAAGGAACUUUUCUCUGGUGGGAAGGACAGAAGUUCCUGAUGACCCCUGCUGUGUGGGCUGGUUGGCAUAGCUGGUAAUCAGGUCUGCCUAUGAAUAGGCUGUAGGGCUUUUUGAUCCUAGAAGCAAGGAAGGAGGAGAAAGUCGCACCAGAUCAGUACAGGUUGGUGUGAAACUUACCUGGAUAGACCUGUGGAGUAUAGUAGUGUAUACCAAAUGGCCUGGUUUCUUAGCCUCUCUCACUUUUAACAUCCUUUCCAUCAUCUAUGCUCCUAUUUGACAUAAAGAAAAGAGGGCAUUAGUGCCUGGGGAGGAUAUUGUUGGGCAUUAGUGGGAGUGUGUAAGGGAUAAAGUGAGGGAAUAGAGUUUUCUACUAUUCUACUUCUACCACACAAUCGAUCUCUAUUCUCUCAUGUCACAUGUGGCUGUCUGCAUAGAGAAACACAGUUGGAAGAGACUUACAGCUUGUUUUCUUCUUCCAUCUCAGGUCCAUCUCCAGUGGUGGCUGUAGUGGCCUUGGAGUGGCAGAUCAUCACCUUCAGCAGAUCUGCCAUCAGGAACUAUUAUUUUCCCUCGGGCUGAUUGCCUCUGUCUUCUCUCUGUAUUGUUGACAGAGGCUCUGUGUUUGGAAAGAGGACUGUGUGUCUUCUGAGCUCACCACUAACUCUUGCUACAAAGUUUAUGUCUGACCCAGUGGAAGAGUGUUAAGACUUUGACCGGGACACAUUCAGAACCAAGGCCAAGGUUAUAGUGCUAUC
rnacentral:lncRNA from 1 species